GGCUUAACACAUGCAAGUCGAACGGUAACAGGAGAAAGCUUGCUUUCUUGCUGACGAGUGGCGGACGGGUGAGUAAUGCUUGGGAAUCUGGCUUAUGGAGGGGGAUAACGACGGGAAACUGUCGCUAAUACCGCGUAGAGUCGAGAGACGAAAGUGCGGGACCGCAAGGCCGCAUGCCAUAGGAUGAGCCCAAGUGGGAUUAGGUAGUUGGUGGGGUAAUGGCCUACCAAGCCGACGAUCUCUAGCUGGUCUGAGAGGAUGACCAGCCACACCGGGACUGAGACACGGCCCGGACUCCUACGGGAGGCAGCAGUGGGGAAUAUUGCGCAAUGGGGGCAACCCUGACGCAGCCAUGCCGCGUGAAUGAAGAAGGCCUUCGGGUUGUAAAGUUCUUUCGGUGACGAGGAAGGAGUGAUGUUUAAUAGGCAUCACGAUUGAC
rnacentral:rRNA from 1 species